rnacentral:rRNA from 1 species
AUUGAACGCUGGCGGCAGGCCUAACACAUGCAAGUCGAGCGGAUGAAGGGGGCUUGCUCCUGGAUUCAGCGGCGGACGGGUGAGUACUGCCUAGGAAUCUGCCUUAUCGUGGGGGAUAACGUCCGGAAACGGGCGCUAAUACCGCAUCCGUCCUGUGGGCGAAUGUGGGGGAUCUUCGGAUCUCUCGCUAUCAGAUUAGCCUAGGUCGGAUUAGCUAGUUGGUGGGGUAAUGGCCUACCAAGGCGACGAGCCGAAACUGGUCUUAGAGGAUGAUCAGUCACAUGGGCAGAGAGACACGGUCCAGACUCCUACGGUAAGCAGCAGUGGGGAAUAUUGGACAAUGGGCGAAAGCGUGAUACAGCCAUGCCGCGUGUGUGAAGAAGGACUUCGGAUGGGAAAGUACUGAAGGUCGGGAGGAAGGGAAGUAAGUUAAUACGGGGCGGUAAUGACGGUACCAACAGAAUAAGCACCGGCUAACUUCGUG